AUUUAGGAUAACUAAAAGUAAAAAAAAAAUAUUUGAGCAGUGAAGAUGUGAACGAUUUGACAGAUAUUAGUUAAAUGAGCUUUGAAAGAAAGCUAGACACAAAGAUUUACUGACAUCUGCUUCAACCAUCUGAGCAAUACCAAAUUGUACUGUGUAUACACUAUCCUUGGUAGACGCGUUUACAUUCACCUACAGCAACUACGUGAAUAUCGUUAAAACUAAGAUUUCGAUAAAUGAAGAAAUUGAGUCACAGUUUCAUAGGAAUACGUUAAUUGUUUACUUAACGUAAACGAUCAUGUUACUGAAUUUUGAUAGAGUAGAAAGUUAUCGAAGUUAUCUGGUUUGAAAGAAAUAGUGUGGAUUUUUCAGUUGCUUUUAGUCAAUUUAAAAAUUGCUAAUAGUUAGGAAGUACAACGCGUAUUUGAAAUUUGGAAAUAGAAAUAUUAUUUCAUUAUCCACGGAAAACAGAACAAGAGAAUCUAGGCUGAAUUUCAUUGAUCGGUACAAAGUACUAAUAACAAUAUUCAACUUUCAACUCGAGACAUUACAAUCAGAAAUUGUGUGAAAUAUAGAAGGUAAGCAAUGUUAGGUUACAACGAAAAAAUAAGUCAUAACUCAAUAAUUGAUGUUAAUGGAGGUGAUUAGGAGAGAAACGGGUUUCUUUCGUCUAUAGAAAUGACAACAUUUCGCAGAAUGCGUGCUAGCUUUUGAAUGUAAACUGAUUGAUACAAGCAUUUGAAAUUCUACAGCACACCAAUAAAUUUAUUGCUAUAUACAACGUUUAUUCCUUGCGUUUCAUCGUGAUUUAUUCAGUUUAGCAUAUGUCGAUGGGUAUUCAGUAGUAUAAAUAUCACAAUCCAUAAAAGCUUACUUACUUAUUUUUAAAGAAUUAAAAAUAUUGAUCUCAUUUAUUGAUAUAAAACGUAUUAUCCAACUGCACUGCGACCUCUAAACUUGAUGGAUCGCUUAUAGGCUUCAUGACUUGCAGUAACGCAACCACUUAAUUUCACUGAUAUCCCCAUCUUUUGUUUUCUAGGAAAGUCCAAGUUUUGAAUGUUGC